rnacentral:lncRNA from 1 species
GCCGAGUAUUCAUCAACUGCGACUGUAAAACGCCCAAAACAUCACAUAUAAUCGAAUCGUAACUCGUGUAAUACCGUUUCUCCCACUCCAUCCAAUCCGCCGGCGGUUCAUAGUUCCGCUCUAUCAUCUUGAUCUCGUGUAUUCUUUUCCGUAGAACAAUCAUGUUUUCAUCGACGAGUCGCCGUCUUCCUCCACCACCAACGCCGCUGCAGCUCAAGUCAUCAUUAUCCGAUCUUCUCGCGGCGAAUAUCUUCGGCGUCGCCGUGGAGAUCGGUUUUCUGGAUCGGUGUUUCGGAAAGCACGCUGUUGAGGAAAGAAAACAGGUAUUGCAAAGAGAUUUUGAUCCCAUGAUUUUGAAUUUUCUUUCUUUUUUUGUUUAUUUGUUGAUGAUGAUAUUUGAUAAUAGCGUUUAUGCUAACAGUGUUUUUAUAGUUUGAAAAACGGCGGUGGGAACCACCGAUGGGGGCGGCGCGCGAAAGCGUGUUAAUAAACAGCGCAGAUACAAGUUGGUUGCGCGUUUUUCAAGGUGGAUCCCCCAAAACUCAACGCUCAUCACGUUUUGAUAGCGAC